CAGCCGCCACGGGAAUACGUAGGGUGCGAGCGUUAAUCGGAAUUACUGGGCGUAAAGCGUGCGCAGGCGGUUGUGUAAGACAGAUGUGAAAUCACCGGGCUUAACCUGGGAACUGCAUUUGUGACUGGCGGGCUAGAGUAUGGCAGAGGGGGGUAGAAUUCCACGUGUAGCAGUGAAAUGCGUAGAGAUGUGGAGGAAUACCGAUGGCGAAGGCAGCCCCCUGGGCCAAUACUAACGCUCAUGCACGAGAGCGUGGGGAGCAAACAGGAUUAGAUACCCCCGUAGUCCCUGUCUCUUAUAC
rnacentral:rRNA from 1 species